AUGAAUUAUCCGUUCGGUUGCUGCUGGUCUUCCCAGACAUGUGCACGCCGGCGUUUUCAUUCGUCUACCCCAUCUGUGCACUCUUCGUAGGCCCAGGGAACUCUCCCGGCCUAUCAUAUCUAUACACACUCUUGUCAUAUGAAAUGAAUGCGAUACAGUCCGAUGGACUUAUAAAUCGAAUA
rnacentral:misc_RNA from 1 species